UACGAAGGGGGCUAGCGUUGUUCGGAAUCACUGGGCGUAAAGCGCACGUAGGCGGAUUGUUAAGUCGGGGGUGAAAUCCUGAGGCUCAACCUCAGAACUGCCUCCGAUACUGGCAAUCUCGAGUUCGGAAGAGGUUGGUGGAACAGCUAGUGUAGAGGUGAAAUUCGUAGAUAUUCGCAAGAACACCAGUGGCGAAGGCGGCUCACUGGCUCGGUACUGACGCUGAGGUGCGAAAGCGUGGGGAGCAAACAGG
rnacentral:rRNA from 1 species